rnacentral:tRNA from 1 species
AAAAAGCCGGAGUAGCUCAGUUGGUAGAGCAGAGGACUGAAAAUCCUC